GCGCCAGUAACUCAGCUUGGUGAGGAAUAUUCCUCGAGCAAAUAGAGUGACAGCCUUCUAAGCUGUAAGUCGGGAGUUCGAAUCUUCCCUGGCGCG
rnacentral:tRNA from 1 species